GAGCACGUAGGUGGGUUUGUAAGUCAGGUGUGAAAGCCUUCUGUUCAACGGAAGAAUUGCAUCUGAAACUGCGAGUCUUGAGUGUAGGAGGGGAGAAUGGAACUUCUGGUGGAGCGGUGAAAUGCGUAGAUAUCAGAAGGAACGCCGGCGGCGAAAGCGAUUCUCUGGCCUAUUACUGACACUCAGUGUGCGAAAGCUAGGGGAGCAAACGGGAUUAGAUACCCCGGUAGUCCUAGCCGUAAACGAUGGGCACUAAGUAGAGGGG
rnacentral:rRNA from 1 species